GCCUUCGUAGCUCAGCUGGUUAGAGCGCCUGCCCCAUAAGCGGGAGGUCCAAGGUUCGAGCCCUUGCGAUGGCACCA
rnacentral:tRNA from 1 species